rnacentral:rRNA from 1 species
GAUGAACGCUGGCGGCGUGCCUAAUACAUGCAAGUCGAGCGAACGGACGAGAAGCUUGCUUCUCUGAUGUUAGCGGCGGACGGGUGAGUAACACGUGGAUAACCUACCUAUAAGACUGGGAUAACUUCGGGAAACCGUAGCUAAUACCGGAUAAUAUUUUGAACCGCAUGGUUCAAAAGUGAAAGACGGUCUUUCUGUCACUUAUAGAUGGAUCCGCGCUGCAUUAGCUAGUUGGUAAGGUAACGGCUUACCAAGGCAACGAUGCAUAGCCGACCUGAGAGGGUGAUCGGCCACACUGGAACUGAGACACGGUCCAGACUCCUACGGGAGGCAGCAGUAGCGAAUCUUACGCAAUGGGCGAAAGCCUGACGGAGCAACGCCGCGUGAGUGAUGAAGGUCUUCGGAUCGUAAAACUCUGUUAUUAGGGAAGAACAUAUGUGUAAGUAACUGUGCACAUCUUGACGGUACCUAAUCAGAAAGCCACGGCUAACUACGUG